rnacentral:rRNA from 1 species
AGAGUUUGAUCAUGGCUCAGGACGAACGCUGGCGGCGUGCUUAACACAUGCAAGUCGAGCGAUGAAGCUUCUUCGGAAGUGGAUUAGCGGCGGACGGGUGAGUAACACGUGGGUAACCUGCCUCAUAGAGGGGAAUAGCCUUCCGAAAGGAAGAUUAAUACCGCAUAAGAUUGUAAUAUCGCAUGAUAUAGCAAUUAAAGGAGUAAUCCGCUAUGAGAUGGACCCGCGUCGCAUUAGCUAGUUGGUGAGGUAACGGCUCACCAAGGCGACGAUGCGUAGCCGACCUGAGAGGGUGAUCGGCCACAUUGGGACUGAGACACGGCCCAGACUCCUACGGGAGGCAGCAGUGGGGAAUAUUGCACAAUGGGGGAAACCCUGAUGCAGCCAACGCCGCGUGAGUGAUGACGGUCUUCGGAUUGUAAAGCUCUGUCUUCAGGGAUGAUAAUGACGGUACCUGAGGAGGAAGCCACGGCUAACUACGUGCCAGCCGCCGC